CCUACGGGAGGCAGCAGUAGGGAAUCUUUCACAAUGGGCGAAAGCCUGAUGGAGCAACGCCGCGUGCAGGAUGAAGGCCUUCUGGUUGUUAACUGCUUUUAUAAGCGAGAUAUAUGAUGGUAACUUAUGAAUAAUGAUCGUCUAUCUACGUUCCAGCACCCGCGGUCAUACGUAGGAUCCGAGCAUUAUCCGGAGUGACUGUGUGUAAAGAGUUGUUUAGGUGGCAUAAUAAGUAGCUAGUGAAAUCUGGUGGCUCAACCAUUCAGACUAUUAGCUAAACUGUUAAGCUCGAGACUGUUAGGGGUAACUGGAAUGUGUAGUGUAGGAGUGAAAUCCGUAGAUAUUA
rnacentral:rRNA from 1 species